rnacentral:sRNA from 1 species
GUUUGCACUUGUCGGGGAAGGGUGAGAACCUUCGAUUAAGGUUCGACUCGAGCGAAAGAACGUUGCCAACGGUAACGGCCCGCAGGGUGAGGAGUGAAGCGACGAAUAAUCCUUCCUCCACCACCA